rnacentral:tRNA from 1 species
GGGAAGGUAGCUCAGUGGUAGAGUGCUUGCCUUGUAUGCAUGAGGCCCUGGGUUCAAUUCCUCAGCACCA